CCAACAUGUACCUCUGAAGUCUUGAGCCAAUAAAAUAGGAAGCAUUACUAUUGGAACAGCUCUUGUAUCAAUUAUUCUCCCCUUUUUUUAGGCAAGUGAAGAACUCGAGUGAGGUCCUACAAGUGUGAAGAGAGAAAAUGGCUUCAGCCUGUCAUUAAAGGCAGAAGUUUAUUUUAAAGGUCACAUUUGAAAUGUGGCUGAUGUUCAUAGUGGUUCAACAAAAAGGGCCUUCUGCUUUGAAGAAAUACAAUCAAGUGGGAAGAGAGAGUCCUUUUGCGUAAACAUCAGUGAUAACUACUCCAUAUCAACGUAAUUCCAACUUGUAAAUCAGUGAGGAAAGGGGAAUCCAGUUGUCCUUGUGGAGAGAUCAGCCCAGGGACAAGAUGGAGCAUAACAUUUCUGGUACUGACUGGAUAGAAUCAAAGCAGAGUACAAGGGCAAGAAACUGCAACCAGCUGUCCUUCACCAUGGUAUGGGAGGUCUGACUGGAGACAGAAGAGAGUAUUUAAAGCAUAUUUUUCAAGAAAUAUGGAGUGUGACUGACUGGCUG
ensembl:lncRNA